rnacentral:antisense_RNA from 1 species
GCGCGUCGAAGACAGCAGCGCCCACCAGCAGAUGCAGAGAACCCAAAGCCCUGCAGGAUGGCAAAGCUGCAACAUGGAAGUCACCUGGAUCACCAUGUAAAGGAAAUCUGCUCUCUAACCAGGAACAAACACCUGCCUUGCAAUAUUAGGAGGCCACCAGACUUUCUCUGCUUGUAUCCUCCCAGGACCACGGAACUCAUCACAUCCCAAGGCAGUCUAUUCCAUCAUGGACGAGCUCAAAGUGUUUGAAAGUUCUGCUUUAUCAAGUGAGCCAAACUUCCUCCCUCGGGACCAUCCACUCCAGGUCCCAGUUAUUCUAUUGGAGGAGCGAGGGUAAAGCCAUCACCAGGACAACCUUGGUGACAGGCUGGACUGGCAGCCAGCUUUUGAGGAUGACUUCAGGGAACCCUAAAGUCAAAUGUAUUACUCCUCUGAUGCCUACAA